rnacentral:rRNA from 1 species
AUUGAACGCUGGCGGCAUGCCUUACACAUGCAAGUCGAACGGCAGCACGGGAGCAAUCCUGGUGGCGAGUGGCGAACGGGGUAGUAAAGUAUCGGAACGUGCCCAGUCGUGGGGGAUAACGUAGCGAAAGUUACGCUAAUACCGCAUACUAUCGAUGGAUGAAAGCGGGGGAUCGCAAGACCUCGCGCGAUUGGAGCGGCCGAUACCAGAUUAGGUAGUUGGGGGGGUAAAGGCUCACAAAGCCGACGAUCUGUAGACGGUCUAAGAGGAGGACCAGCCACACUGGGACUGAGACACGGCCCAGACUCCUACGGGAGGCAGCAGUGGGGAAUUUUGGACAAUGGGCGAAAGCCUGAUCCAGCCAUGCCGCGUGCAGGAUGAAGGCCUUCGGGUUGUAAACUGCUUUUGUACGGAACGAAAAGGUUUGGCCUAAUAAGCUGAGCUCAUGACGGUACCGUAAGAAUAAGCACCGGCUAACUACGUGCCAGCAGCCGCCGUAA